UACGUAGGGGGCAAGCGUUGUCCGGAAUCAUUGGGCGUAAAGCGCGUGUAGGCGGCCCGGUAAGUCCGCUGUGAAAGUCCAGGGCUCAACCCUGGAAUGCCGGUGGAUACUGUCGGGCUCGAGUCCGGAAGAGGCGAGUGGAAUUCCUGGUGUAGCGGUGAAAUGCGCAGAUAUCUGGAGGAAUACCGGUGGCGAAGGCGGCAUCCUGGACCGGCAUUGACGCUGAGGAGCGAAAGCCAGGGGAGCAAACGGG
rnacentral:rRNA from 1 species